rnacentral:rRNA from 1 species
GGAGUUAGCCGGUGCUUCUUCUGUGAGUGAUGUCCUUCCUGCCGGUUAUUGACCCGCAGGCCUUCUUCCUCACUGAAAGUGCUUUACAACCCGAAGGCCUUCUUCACACACGCGGCAUGGCUGGAUCAGGGUUGCCCCCAUUGUCCAAUAUUCCCCACUGCUGCCUCCCGUAGGAGUCUGGGCCGUGUCUCAGUCCCAGUGUGGCUGAUCAUCCUCUCAGACCAGCUACGGAUCGUCGCCUUGGUGAGCCGUUACCUCACCAACCAGCUAAUCCGACAUAGGCUCAUCCGAUAGCGCGAGGCCCGAAGGUCCCCCGCUUUCCCCCGUAGGGCGUAUGCGGUAUUAGCCUGGGUUUCCCCAGGUUAUCCCCCACUACCGGGCAGAUUCCUAUGCAUUACUCACCCGUCCGCCGCUCGCCACCAGGGAGCAAGCUCCCCGUGCUGCCGCUCGACUUGCAUGUGUUAGGCCUGCCGCCAGCGUUCAAUCUGAGCCAGGAUCAAACUCU